UAGAAAUAUGUCAAACCUAAUCACUUAUCUUUAUGUAUCUCAAUCUAAAAAUCUCAGUUGAUGAUACAUUAAAAUUUUUUUCUAAUUAUCACCCUUCUUUGGCCAAAGACUUCUAGAAUCACCGUCUUAUGAGAUCACAUAGGAUGUUUGCUCUCCUUAUUAGGAGUGAUUGAUCUCUUAUUGAUCACUCAUAACCUUCAUGCACACUUCACCAUAUCCAGAACACCCCACACAAAGAUCAGAG
rnacentral:lncRNA from 1 species